rnacentral:rRNA from 1 species
ACGCGUAUGCAAUCUGCCUUCCACAGAGGGAUAGCCCAGAGAAAUUUGGAUUAAUACCUCAUAGCAUCAUGACCCGGCAUCGGGAUAUGAUUAAAGUCACAACGGUGGAAGAUGAGCAUGCGUCCCAUUAGCUAGUUGGUAAGGUAACGGCUUACCAAGGCUACGAUGGGUAGGGGUCCUGAGAGGGAGAUCCCCCACACUGGUACUGAGACACGGACCAGACUCCUACGGGAGGCAGCAGUGAGGAAUAUUGGUCAAUGGGCGCAAGCCUGAACCAGCCAUGCCGCGUGCAGGAUGACGGUCCUAUGGAUUGUAAACUGCUUUUGUACGGGAAGAAACCCUCCUACGUGUAGGAGCUUGACGGUACCGUAAGAAUAAGGAUCGGCUAACUCCGUGCCAGCAGCCGCGGUAAUACGGAGGAUCCAAGCGUUAUCCGGAAUCAUUGGGUUUAAAGGGUCUGUAGGCGGUCUUGUAAGUCAGUGGUGAAAGCCCAUCGCUCAACGGUGGAACGGCCAUUGAUACUGCUGGACUUGAAUUAUUGGGAAGCAACUAGAAUAUGUAGUGUAGCGGUGAAAUGCUUAGAGAUUACAUGGAAUACCAAUUGCGAAGGCAGGUUGCUACCAAUGGAUUGACGCUGAUGGACG